rnacentral:rRNA from 1 species
CCUACGGGAGGCAGCAGUGGGGAAUAUUGCACAAUGGGGGAAACCCUGAUGCAGCGACGCCGCGUGAGUGAAGAAGUAUUUCGGUAUGUAAAGCUCUAUCAGCAGGGAAGAAAAUGACGGUACCUGAUUAAGAAGCCCCGGCUAACUACGUGCCAGCAGCCGCGGUAAUACGUAGGGGGCAAGCGUUAUCCGGAUUUAAUGGGUGUAAAGGGAGCGUAAUCGGCAGCACAAGUCUGGAGUGAAAAGCCUGGGGUUAACCCCCGAACUGCUUUGGAAACUGUGCAGCUAGAGUGGAAGAGAGGUAAGUGGAAUUCCUAGUGUAGCGGUGAAAUGCGUAGAUAUUGGGAGGAACACCAGUGGCGAAGGCAGCUUACUGGCCUGUCACUGACGCUGAGGCACGAAAGCGUGGGGAGCAAACAGGAUUAGAUACCCUUGUAGUC